rnacentral:rRNA from 1 species
GACGAACGCUGGCGGCGUGCCUAAUACAUGCAAGUAGAACGCUGAAGAGAGGAGCUUGCUCUUCUUGGAAGAGUUGCGAACGGGUGAGUAACGCGUAGGUAACCUGCCUUGUAGCGGGGGAUAACUAUUGGAAACGAUAGCUAAUACCGCAUAACAAUGGAUGACCCAUGUCAUUUAUUUGAAAGGGGCAACUGCUCCACUACAAGAUGGACCUGCGUUGUAUUAGCUAGUAGGUGAGGUAACGGCUCACCUAGGCGACGAUACAUAGCCGACCUGGGAGGGUGAUCGGCCACACUGGGACUGAGACACGGCCCAGACUCCUACGGGAGGUAGCAGUAGGGAAUCUUCGGCAAUGGGGGCAACCCUGACCGAGCAACGCCGCGUGAGUGAAGAAGGUUUUCGGAUCGUAAAGCUCUGUUGUAAGUCAAGAACGAGUGUGAGAGUGGAAGGUUCACACUGUGACGGUAGCUUACCAGAAAGGGACGGCUAACUACGUGCCAGCAGCCGCCGUAA